UUACAAGCGACACUGCAUAAUUGCGCAGUUCUAUUGUAUAAACCUAAACAAUGAGCUAUUUGUCACCGCCCGACUCUUUCAAUACAAGAUUGUUGACUUGCAAUGCGGGUUUUGAAAUUCGAUAGCAUAUUUAUAAAUAUUUUUACAUCAGGCUGUGGUUGGCUUUUGGGAAAAUAUCGAGGACGUACAGAUUGGAUUUAAAUAACUGGACGUUGUAAACAUCACUUUAGUGGAAACGACCAACAUGGUGGAUUUGUUUAACACUUGUGCAAAAGUUUUGAUACUGAUAUUGAUGCAGCAAAUAAGUGCAGAUGCCGUAUGUAACACAAACCCAGAUCCCUGCUACAGAUACAAUGGAGCAAAGGAAGUUCCCAAGAUAUAUACCAGACACCCGAACAUCUCUUACUCAGCUACAUUAAAUAAUAGAGACUGCGACGUCUUUGCAAUGAACACGAGCGCGUGGUACAUGAGUGAUUAUCCUAUGACCACACAUAAGGUGAAAGUCAAAGCUUGCGGUGCGGAUUUGCCAAUCUGGAUGAAUGAUACUUUGCCAACUGUAUCAGAUGGAUUCGUGAACAGAACAGUGUGCGUGAGUAGCUUGGUCUCAUCCUGUGACGCCAAUUAUUCAGUGAACGUCAAAUAUUGUGGCUUUUACUACGUUUACUGUCUCUGGGAAUUACCAAAUGGAUGUCCCCAAAGAUUUUGUUUUGAUGUUGACUUGAGCAAGCAAACUACGACGACCGCCACAACUACAACUGAAUCCGCAACUACAACUGAAUCCGCAACUACAACUGCACCUUCAUCAACUACGGAUACGUUCACAACUACAUCAGAGCCUGUCAAAAAGGAUGUUCGAUUGAUAUGUAUAAGUGUAUUAAUGACGCUUAUUGCUGUGAUCGGGUGGUCUUAUGUGGUAUUUCUACUCUAUAGAUCUAAGAGUUUAAUUGCAAUCACUCGAUCCUGAGCGCAGUGGCCUAUCUCACAGAGACUUGAAAAAACGAAGUUGCACCUGCGUUUAAACCACCGAUCGGCGAUUCAAUGUGCAGUCCUGUGUAUGGAACAGUUGUCGAGAAAUAUUGAGGAAAAUAAAGAAAAGUUUGAAAUAACGUGAACAUGUAUCAGAUGAUAUGUUUAUUGGCUUAAAAAUAUGUUAUAAACCUCACACUGUAUCAAUGAAAAACAUCACAUUGAAGAUAAUUUUUAUUAGUUAUAAUGGCUAUUUAAAGCUAACGUCUUAGUUGUAAGUUUGGCAAAGUUUGUCUGAUUUUGCUAGUAUAUAUUAUAAUAAGUGCUUGACAAUUACUCAAUAUUAAGCUUCAUUUUAAAUCAAUAUUUAAAGUAAAUUCUUGAACUUAAGAUAUUUUGUCUCACACUCGUUGACAAGAGGGCCCAUAUAUGCUAAAAACUGACUUCCUCUUUGAAUACGUCACCAUAAUUAUCAACAUAACAUGUAAAAAAUAACAGUUUGUAUCCGUCUAAAUUUACAUACAAAUGCUUAUCUAAAUGUAUGGUAAGACUAUCCACAGCUACAAUCGUUCCAAAUAAGUAGAUAUCGUUUAAACUGAUAUUUCGAAAACAAUUCCGUAUUAGUUAGCAUUUCUUAGACAAACAGGCCUGGUUCAUGCAUUUGUAAAAAGGCCUGAAACGUCACGAUAAUCGUAUUUGUAUACAUUUUUAAGGCUCCAAUUUCUCAAAAGUGUAAGAAGCUAAAGUAGCUUAUUUCAUUAAGCCAAAUUAGUUUAUCGUAUUUAUUAUGAGAUGAUUUCCUUUUUUGUCCGAAAACACGGAAGAAUGUAAAUAUUACACAAAUUAUACCAAAACAAAAGGGUCAACUUUUGAGAAAUUAGGGCCUGUUCGUUAAAGACCGGCAUGUGUCCUGUUUUCUUAUAUACGCGGCAGACUAUUAUCGGUCAAGAAUAAAAAAAUAAUUUGUUUUUAAAUUUUAUACUGCAUGCAUUUAUAAAUGUUUAUUUUGUACAUGAUUUUAAAGUAAGGCCGAUACUGCCACUUACUGGUUGUUGCAUGCCAAGAGUAGGUUUAUGCAAUUAUAAGUUUAACCCAAACAUUUAUGAAUACAACAUGUACAUAUUUGUAGUUUUGCGUGCCUUAAAUGAAAAAUCAAAUAGUGUUAAUAGUUUAACCUUGUCCCUAUAUUUCUCAUAUUAUGAGUACAGUCCAGAGUUCAGUUAAAGCUAACUCAAGGCGUUAGCAGCUAACGUUUGUAACUUGGUUCCCCUCGUGCAGUAUAAAUUAUGCAUGCGCUGUGAUACAACAUGGAUACAAAACAAAACAGCGAACGUGAGCUUAUAUUAGCGUUAACUGAACUCGCUGGUAUGUGUUACCAUGGAACCGUUCAUUUAUAAGUCUAACACGAAUGUUUGUGUACUUUUUCCCCAUUGCUCGUGCAUGUUUUUUCUGUCGUGUUGCUUUUGGUAUUUUGUAUAAAGUUUUAGCAUCUACACGUUGACUAAUAUAAACGUUUGCUUGAUGCGCAAAAGAAAUAAUAUCAUUAUCAUUUACGCGUUUAAAUCAUAACCAGAAGAACAUAUUGGUUAAAACAAUAUUUAUUUAAAAAAACAACAGUUUCUUUUGUUAGAUUUACAAAGUUAAACCAUAAAGUAAGAAUUUAUUGUGGCAGUAAUACGUGAAAAAUAUACAAGUGAUAAAAUACUCACGAAAUAAUAGAGAAAGAAGCUUGCUUUGAAUCGUAUAUUAUGGUCGGUUCUGCCAAAAGAGUCAUAUUCAAAGCAAAUUGUAGUAUACAUUUAUAACUAAGACAGCAGUAACUAUUGUAUUGUACUGUUUUUCAGAACACUGUCCGUUGGAUAAACAUAUCAAAGCUACCUAUGGGUUACCUGCUCGAAUAUUAUUAUUUUCCGUCUGUUCUUCUUUUAUUGUAUACUUAUCAGGCGUUUAUUAUGCGUUGAACAACACAAAUAUAAAGAGAAAGAAAUAAUUAUGCAUUCAGUUUGAAACUUUGCUAUUAUGAUUGUGACUGCAACUGGUAAAAUUGGAGUCAAAAAGAGACACUGAGGGCAAUGUUUGACCCUUUCAAAAGGUCAGGGUACUAUUUAUAUGUAUAUACAUUGCUUUUCUUUUUCAUUUUAUGUCAAUGCAUAUAAUAUUUCGAAAGAAUUUGUGUGUUUGUUUGUGUAUUGAAUAAAAUAUGCCAAUAUUCAAA